ensembl:lncRNA
UAAAAAGGAGCAGCUGUGUCACUUUCAGGUAAUGCUGGAAUGUGUGAGGAAAAUAUGGAGUUGGACCAGACAGGAAAGGAUACAUUUGGGAAGCAAACCUAGAACAGAGAGCAUGAAAAAGGAUUGUAUCAGAAGGCUUAUACCAGAAAUUAAUUUCUUCCAGUGUUAGCAUUUGGUGUGUUUACCUCAUUUUAUUUUGAGUGUUAUUUAGGAGGAACAUAGCAGAAGAACUGAAUAGUCCAUUUGCUCCCAUAAACUAAGGAUAAACUGGAAGAUAAAUCUGUUGUUCUGUGGAGUUCCUAAUGAUAUUAAACACUAUCUUAUUUCUCCUCAUCCCUUUCUCUUAAAGCCAAAAGGAUAUGUGCUAAAAUUGGUACAGCUCAGAGAUUAGCAAGGCCCCCACACAAGGAUUACAUAGAAAUCUGUGAAGUGUUCUGUCAAGCCAGAAAUCCAGUUACAACUUGGAAGCUUUCUCAAGAAAAAUGACACUUAAGUGAGAGUGUUUGUAAUUUUUGAUAGCAAAAUUAUCCCUCUUGUAGAUUAUUAAUGGAUGCCCAAAUGAUGGUCAGAGUGAGGCUAGGGUGGAAAUGGAACAAACAGCAAGUAGAGAGUGGUCAGGUGUGAGAAAGCUUAACCGACAGACCAUGCAAAUGUAAAUGAAUAAGUUCUCCUUUUGGCCUUCACGCAUCUGUCCUUAAUAAGUGUGUUUUCCAGGCUCUGUCAGAACUAAAUAAAAAAAAAAACCUGAUUCCUUCAUGUUUGUUGUCUCGGAGUAUUUUGUCCCUUGCUUUUGGUGCACUAGCUUUCUUCCUUACAGAAUCAAAGAAAAUGGGGCUUUUAAACUCACAGUGCACGAGAGAGAAAGAGACGGUGACUGUCAGUUCUCUGAGAUAGCUCUGCAGCAAAGGACAACUCUGAUUAGAAGAACCAUUCCUCAGUGGAAUAACUUCAGCUUGAUCAUACAUACCGUUUAUGGAUGGAAAUGUUUGCAAGGAGAAAAGACAACUUUAGCAGGUGUACUCUAAACAGCCUUUUCAAAUGAUGCCCCAAUGGAUUAUCUGAGCAAUUUCCC